rnacentral:rRNA from 1 species
ACUCCUACGGGUGGCAGCAGUGGGGAAUAUUGCACAAUGGGCGCAAGCCUGAUGCAGCCAUGCCGCGUGUAUGAAGAAGGCCUUCGGGUUGUAAAGUACUUUCAGCGGGGAGGAAGGCGAUAAGGUUAAUAACCUUGUUGAUUGACGUUACCCGCAGAAGAAGCACCGGCUAACUCCGUGCCAGCAGCCGCGGUAAUACGGAGGGUGCAAGCGUUAAUCGGAAUUACUGGGCGUAAAGCGCACGCAGGCGGUCUGUCAAGUCGGAUGUGAAAUCCCCGGGCUCAACCUGGGAACUGCAUUCGAAACUGGCAGGCUAGAGUCUUGUAGAGGGGGGUAGAAUUCCAGGUGUAGCGGUGAAAUGCGUAGAGAUCUGGAGGAAUACCGGUGGCGAAGGCGGCCCCCUGGACAAAGACUGACGCUCAGGUGCGAAAGCGUGGGGAGCAAACAGGAUUAGAAACCCUGGUAGUCCCAUG